rnacentral:tRNA from 1 species
GCGCCCGUAGCUCAGCUGGAUAGAGCGCUGCCCUCCGGAGGCAGAAGUCGUGGGUUCGAAUCCUACCGGGCGCG